UAACACGUGAGCAACCUGCCCCAGGCUUUGGGAUAACCCCGGGAAACCGGGGCUAAUACCGAAUAUGACCUCCGAUCGCAUGGUCGGUGGUGGAAAGUUUUUCGGCUUGGGAUGGGCUCGCGGCCUAUCAGCUUGUUGGUGGGGUGAUGGCCUACCAAGGCGACGACGGGUAGCCGGCCUGAGAGGGCGACCGGCCACACUGGGACUGAGACACGGCCCAGACUCCUACGGGAGGCAGCAGUGGGGAAUAUUGCACAAUGGGCGGAAGCCUGAUGCAGCGACGCCGCGUGAGGGAUGACGGCCUUCGGGUUGUAAACCUCUUUCAGCAGGGACGAAGCGUAAGUGACGGUACCUGCAGAAGAAGCGCCGGCCAACUACGUGCCAGCAGCCGCGGUAAGACGUAGGGCGCGAGCGUUGUCCGGAUUUAUUGGGCGUAAAGAGCUCGUAGGCGGCUUGUCGCGUCGACCGUGAAAACCUGGGGCUCAACCCCAGGCCUGCGGUCGAUACGGGCAGGCUAGAGUUCGGUAGGGGAGACUGGAAUUCCUGGUGUAGCGGUGAAAUGCGCAGAUAUCAGGAGGAACACCGGUGGCGAAGGCGGGUCUCUGGGCCGAUACUGACGCUGAGGAGCGAAAGCGUGGGGA
rnacentral:rRNA from 1 species